rfam:Lupinus angustifolius cultivar Tanjil contig_46959, whole genome shotgun sequence.
AACGGGUACGGCCUCGAUCAGCAACAAUGGGGAAUUUUCCGCAAUGGGCGAAAGCCUGACGGAGCAAUGCCGCGUGGAGGUAGAAGGCCUACGGGUCAUGAACUUCUUUUCCCAGAGAAGAAGCAAGGACUGUAUCCGGGGAAUAAGCAUCGGCUAACUCUGUGCCAGCAGCCACGGUAAGACAGAGGAUGCAAGCGUU